UCCGGUAUGGUGUAAUGGCUAACAUUGUCGCCUUUCAUAUCAUGUGAAAUCAUCGCGACGGCUCGGGGUUCGAUCCCCCGUACCGGAG